rnacentral:rRNA from 1 species
UACAGAGGGUGCAAGUGUUAAUCGGAAUUACUGGGCGUAAAGCGUGCGUAGACGGUUAUGUAAGUCAGGUGUGAAAGCCCCGGGCUCAACCUGGGAAUUGCAUUUGAGACUGCAUAGCUAGGGUGCGGAAGAGGGAAGCGGAAUUUCCGGUGUAGCGGUGAAAUGCGUAGAUAUCGGAAGGAACACCAGUGGCGAAAGCGGCUUCCUGGUCCAGCACCGACGUUCAGGCACGAAAGCGUGGGGAGCAAACAGG